UACGGAGGAUGCAAGCGUUAUCCGGAAUCACUGGGCGUAAAGCGUCUGUAGGUGGCUCAGAAAGUCUGCUGUCAAAUCUUAGGGCUCAACCCUAAACAAGCAGUAGAAACUACUAGGCUAGAGUAUGGUAGGGGCAGAGGGAAUUCCCAGUGUAGCGGUGAAAUGCGUAGAUAUUGGGAAGAACACCAGCGGCGAAAGCGCUCUGCUAGGCCAUUACUGACACUCAGAGACGAAAGCUAGGGGAGCGAAUGGG
rnacentral:rRNA from 1 species